AGAUUGCUUGUUCUCUCUGUUUCUUGUUUUCAUUUCCAGAAUGUGGGGCUGUAACCACUGCCUAGCCUUCCUCAAAUGGUGAUAGAAUCCAGUGUCUGAAAUGAGCAAGAGGUGCUUGACUUAAAUUCUAUCUACUCCAUCAGCCUCUAUGGAGCUUUGACAGCCUAGGGCCUGAAGACAUCUCUGGACCCUGCUCAGCAACAGCUCUAACCAACCCAACAGCAACAAGGAGGUGAAGGAGGGAACGUCUCCCCAGCACCAACUGGAAAGGUGUCAACCAAUAGAAAACUCUUAGUUGGAUGUGUGUCUAAAGGCAUAGCCCAGAUUUGAUAUUGGGAAUUCUGAACAAUGAUAGAAGGGAUCAUCUGACCUGCACUGAGAAUUCAGUCUGGGAUGUACAGGGAGACACUCAAGAUACACUCAUACGUUUCUGAUUUUCACUGCAUUAAUGGCUGUUCCAAUAGUAGUGAAAGAACUGAAAUCUCCUUGGGUUAGACACUGAUGAAGCCAUUAAAGAGUUUUCUCACCAAAGUUUCUAAGUAAUCCAUGUUCUCAUGGUAACAGCAAAAUCCCUGUUAAAAUAUAGUUGCAAAUAUCCUGUUUCUUUUUAUGGCUGAGCUGAUAUAUCAGACCUGGGAUAUGAGAUAUAUGAUAUUUGCAUUACAACCAUAAUGUCUCCUUGGGACCUAUAUGGUGUCACUGUGUAUUACCAGAUUUCAAGAGUGAUCUGGAAUACGAGGAUUUUAUUUACUAUAAUAUCACACACAUCAGUUCCUCAUUCAUCUAUUGUAAUACAAGGAUAAUGAAAAAUAAUAGAAAAUAAAAGCAAAUUCCAAUAUUUUAAAGCCCAAAAGUAACUUUCAAAUUUAGAUGGUGUGGAAGGGAGAAAGCAGAGAAAAAUCAUAGGAAAUAUUACAAAAGUUCUUUUAUCUGACCAUGACCAUGAGGGAAACACCAAAUGAAUACCGUGAGGUUUUAUUAGCAUCUCUGGACUUGUUUCUGUGACUGUGUCAAAGAAACCUUUAUAAAGGAAGUAUUAUUAGAAGCCCCCCCUCCCCCCCCAGGCUUUAAUACUAUUUGCUGAAAAUGUAACAGUAUAUAUCACUAAUACUGAAACUGAGAUCAGCUGCAUUGUUAUCUAUCUGAUCUGUUUGGAAGUAGCUUGAGACACAAGGAAGGGUGGUGAGAUGCAGAUGUUAUCAAUUAGCCAAAGAAGUUAGCAAAACAACUUCCAACUGCAACAGUUGUUCCAGUUGAGAAGUCUUUGGUUUGAAAUGGGUGUUUAGCUGUUGCUGUGUGUUCACUUCUUCUGUAUGCGCUGAUAGGAAGUCAGUCAGACCACAGCUGUGAAAUCCCAGCUUUGGGAACCAGAUCCUUCCCAU
ensembl:lncRNA